UGGUUAAAAAGCUCGUAGUUGGAUCUCAACAGCCUUGNAAGCGGUUAACUUUGUAGUUUUACUGCUUUAUAGGCUGUGCUUUUGCUGGAGGUUUAGGGGUGCUCUUGAUCGAGUGUCUCUGGAUGCCAGCAGGUUUACUUUGAAAAAAUUAGAGUGCUCAAAGCAGGCUAAAAUGCCUGAAUAUUCGUGCAUGGAAUAAUAGAAUAGGAUGUCGAUCCUAUUUUGUUGGUUUUCGGGACUCGACAUAAUGAUAAAUAGGGACAGUCGGGGGCAUUUGUAUUCAAACGACAGAGGUGAAAUUCUUGGACCGUUUGAAGACAAACUACUGCGAAAGCAUUUGCCAAGAAUGUUUUCAUUAAUCAAGAACGAAAGUUAGAGGUUCGAAGGCGAUUAGAUACCGCCCUAGUUCUAACCAUAAACGAUGCCAGCUAGCGAUCUGCCUGCGUUUUUACUGUAGACUGGGCAGGAAGCUUCCGGGAAACCAAAGCAUUUGGGUUCCAGGGGAAGUAUGGUUGCAAAGCUGAAACUUAAAGGAAUUGACGGAAGGGCACCACCAGGAGUGGAGCCUGUGGCUUAAUUUGACUCAACACGGGAAAUCUCACCAGGCCCGGACACUGGAAGGAUUGACAGAUUGAUAGCUCU
rnacentral:rRNA from 1 species